CCCGCACAAGCGGUGGAGCAUGUGGUUCAAUUCGAAGCAACGCGCAGAACCUUACAACCCUUGACAUGUCCAGUAUGGGCACCGGAGACGGAGCCCUUCAGUUCGGCUGGCUGGAACACAGGUGCUGCAUGGCUGUCGUCAGCUCGUGUCGUGAGAUGUUGGGUUAAGUCCCGCAACGAGCGCAACCCUCGCCCUUAGUUGCCAUCAUUUAGUUGGGCACUCUAGGGGGACUGCCGGUGAUAAGCCGCGAGGAAGGUGGGGAUGACGUCAAGUCCUCAUGGCCCUUACGGGUUGGGCUACACACGUGCUACAAUGGCGGUGACAGUGGGAUGCAAAGGCGCGAGCCUUCGCAAAUCUCAAAAAGCCGUCUCAGUUCGGAUUGGGGUCUGCAACUCGACCCCAUGAAGUCGGAAUCGCUAGUAAUCGUGGAUCAGCACGCCACGGUGAAUACGUUCCCGGGCCUU
rnacentral:rRNA from 1 species